UUGGUGGGUAUUGCCACAUGAC
rnacentral:siRNA from 1 species